rnacentral:rRNA from 1 species
AUUGAACGCUGGCGGCAGGCCUAACACAUGCAAGUCGAACGAGUGGCGGACGGGUGAGUAAUGUCUGGGAAACUGCCUGAUGGAGGGGGAUAACUACUGGAAACGGUAGCUAAUACCGCAUACCAUCGGAUGUGCCCAAAUGGGAUUAGCUAGUAGGUGGGGUAACGGCUCACCUAGGCGACGAUCCCUAGCUGGUCUGAGAGGAUGACCGUCCACAUUGGAACUGAGACACGGUCCAGACUCCUACGGGAGGGAGCAGUGGGGAAUAUUGGACAAGUGGCGAAAGGCUUAUCCAGCCAUGCCGCGUGUAUGAAGGAUGCCUUCGGGUUGUAAAGUACUUUCAGCGGGGAGGCGUUACCCGCAGAAGAAGCACCGGCUAACUCCGUGCCAGCAGCCGCGGUAAUUC